GCCCCCGUAGCUCAAGUGGACAGAGCGCUGGCCUCCUAAGCCGGAGAUCCCCGUUCAAAUCGGGGCGGGGGCACCA
rnacentral:tRNA from 1 species